AUUGAACGCUGGCGGCAGGCCUAACACAUGCAAGUCGAGCGGAUGAAGGGAGCUUGCUCCUGGAUUCAGCGGCGGACGGGUGAGUAAUGCCUAGGAAUCUGCCUGGUAGUGGGGGAUAACGUCCGGAGACGGGCGCUACUACCGCAUACGUCCUGAGGGAGAAGGUGGGGGAGCUUCGGACCUCACGCUAUGAGAUGAGCCUAGGUCGGAUUAGCUAGUUGGUGGGGUAAAGGCCUACCAAGGCGACGAUCCGUAACUGGUCUGAGAGGAUGAUCAGUCACACUGGAACUGAGACACGGUCCAGACUCCUACGGGAGGCAGCAGUGGGGAAUAUUGGACAAUGGGCGAAAGCCUGAUCCAGCCAUGCCGCGUGUGUGAAGAAGGUCUUCGGAUUGUAAAGCACUUUAAGUUGGGAGGAAGGGCAGUAAGUUAAUACCUUGCUGUUUUGACGUUACCAACAGAAGAAGCACCGGCUAACUUCGUG
rnacentral:rRNA from 1 species